rnacentral:rRNA from 1 species
GAUGAACGCUGGCGGCGUGCCUAAUACAUGCAAGUCGAGCGAACAGACGAGGAGCUUGCUCCUCUGACGUUAGCGGCGGACGGGUGAGUAACACGUGGAUAACCUACCUAUAAGACUGGGAUAACUUCGGGAAACCGGAGCUAAUACCGGAUAAUAUAUUGAACCGCAUGGUUCAAUAGUGAAAGACGGUUUUGCUGUCACUUAUAGAUGGAUCCGCGCCGCAUUAGCUAGUUGGUAAGGUAACGGCUUACCAAGGCAACGAUGCGUAGCCGACCUGAGAGGGUGCUCGCCACACUGGAACUGAGACACGGUCCAGACUCCUACGGGAGGCAGCAGUAGGGAAUCUUCCGCAAUGGGCGAAAGCCUGACGGAGCAACGCCGCGUGAGUGAUGAAGGUCUUCGGAUCGUAAAACUCUGUUAUUAGGGAAGAACAAAUGUGUAAGUAACUAUGCACGUCUUGACGGUACCUAAUCAGAAAGCCACGGCUAACUACGUG